rnacentral:tRNA from 2 species
ACUUAAAUAAUUUAAUAAAAAAUAUUGAUUUGUGGAGUCAAAUAUAUGAAUUUUCAUUUUAGGUC